UGGGCCAGUGGCAGAACAAGACAAUUCCAAGUUUAAAAGUGUCUUUCUCACAUGACCGGCCCGUGUGAACUAACGCCCCGCACGCCAGGCUCCGGCAGGGCAGACACGGGGAAACACAAACACGAGUGACCAACUCGCCCCUCUCCCUGUCCAGGCCCGACACUCACUGCGAGAGAUGCUCACACCAGUCAUCUGCCAUCAGGCUCAAUUAAUAUUUCUGAUGGAGCUCUCUACAGGUGACACACACACGUGUGCCAUGUAUACAGUUUGUGAGAAACCGAUUUUCAGUUUCUAUACCCAGGCGCAUUUUAGAACUGUUUUCUGGGGUGUGCUCGGGACACACCAAGUAUGUCCACACACACGCACACACACAUACACACACUUUGCCCACAGGCGAUCUACAUCAUCGUCAUUAUCAUACAUAAUAAUAGUGACGAAUGAGGUGAGCGGAGAGGCCGCCGUGUCCCGGGGUAGCUCGCUUUUCCCUCGCAGCUCGGUGAUCACAGAUCACAGUCCAGCCCGGGGACCUCGCGCUGCCCGCCCGGCUCCAGGCUCGAGCUCCCUGCCCCUAGACCAGACCCGCAGAUCGCGCCUGCCGGAGGGCAGCUGGCCGAGAGAGCCCGGCACGCAGGCUGGUGCAGGGGGCGACCGAGCGGAGUCCUUACCGCCGUGCGCUUCCGCCGAGCCCGCGUCCUCCUCCCACGCGCGACAGCGAUCACGUCCUGCAGGGAGCCCACCGGCCCCGGCCGACGCUGGUGUAGCGGGACUUUGACAUCGGCCUGGGGCUCUCGGCUCCGGUCCUCGCUUCCUCGUGUCCCUCUGGCGCCACCCCGCACACCGGGGGUCUCGAGCGCGACUGUCACUGUCCCGCGCGGGACAGAGCGCGGGGUGUGGGUGUUGACACAGCAGCUCUGUCUGGGGGGUCCUGCAUGCGGGGGCACUGACAGAUAACCACGCCGUGGAUGGCAAUGAGACCCACGGAGCCAGAGGCGCGAGGGAAGACGAUUCCGACGCAGUGCUUUCCAGAAGCUCGGUUUCUAGUGAUUUAAAUUCUGUAUUUCUAUGUCAUGGAAGGGACUCCGCCGCUCGCUUUACGGUUUUAAAGAAGGUGUCGUGCACAUCUGCUCCGGCCACAGAGAAACAGGGUGUAAAGGCUAAAGUAACCCACGGGGGACGAAGUUAUCUGCACAUGUAUACCGUCUCGAGUGGAGUUCAUGGACAACGACUGGCAAAAAAAAAGAGCAGAUCCCCAGCUCGCUUUGAAUAAGUCCAGAGGCGCGUAUACCGUAUAAU
rnacentral:lncRNA from 1 species